GAUGAACGCUGGCGGCGUGCCUAAUACAUGCAAGUCGAGCGAAUGGAUUAAGAGCUUGCUCUUAUGAAGUUAGCGGCGGACGGGUGAGUAACACGUGGGUAACCUGCCCAUAAGACUGGGGUAACUCCGGGAAACCGGGGCUAAUACCGGAUAACAUGUUGAACCGCAUGGUUCGAAAUUGAAAGGCGGCUUCGGCUGUCACUUAUGGAUGGACCCGCGUCGCAUUAGCUAGUUGGUGAGGUAACGGCUCACCAAGGCAACGAUGUGUAGCCGACCUGAGAGGGUGAUCGGCCACACUGGGACUGAGACACGGCCCAGACUCCUACGGGAGGCAACAGUAGGGAAUCUUCCGCAAUGGACGAAAGUCUGACGGAGCAACGCCGCGUGAGUGAUGAAGGCUUUCGGGUCGUAAAACUCUGUUGUUAGGGAAGAACAAGUGCUAGUUGAAUAAGCUGGCACCUUGACGGUACCUAACCAGAGAGCCACGGCUAACUACGUGCCAGCCGCCGCAGUAA
rnacentral:rRNA from 1 species